UACGGAGGGUGCGAGCGUUGUUCGGAAUCACUGGGCGUAAAGGGCGUGUAGGCGGUCUGCUAAGUCUGAUGUGAAAGCCCGGGGCUCACCCCCGGAAGGGCAUUGGAAACUGGCGGACUCGAGUCCCGGAGAGGAGGGUGGAAUUCCUGGUGUAGCGGUGAAAUGCGUAGAUAUCAGGAGGAACACCGGUGGCGAAGGCGGCCCUCUGGACGGUGACUGACGCUGAGACGCGAAAGCGUGGUGAGCAAACAGG
rnacentral:rRNA from 1 species